AUCUUGGCGAGGAUUCCUUUGUUAGUGACAUGAAUGAUCUAUAUGGCAAAAUUAUUUGCAUUUUAUGUUCUCUAGUUUGGAGAAAUGAAAACACGCGGAAACAAUCAAUCAGUUUUCAUUAAUGGCAUUUUAAUAAUUUUUUGAUUUGUUAUUUAUAGUGUCACAAUGAUGGAUGAUUAGGAGGCUUUUUUUUUUUCUUCUGUAGUAUGUUGCAUAAUGAAAUUAUAACAAAUAAAUGUGAGAAUUCU
rnacentral:lncRNA from 1 species